rnacentral:lncRNA from 1 species
UUUACUAGUUAUGCUAAGGCUCCCAAAAUAUUUGAAGCUAGAACAUAUUCCAUAUAGUUUAAAAAUAAGUUGUAUUAAUUAUAUCCUGAAAUAAUCUCAUGUUUGGAGGUCAUGACACGAGAGUCAAGAUAGUGGUGACAAUUACCGCCCCAAGGGGAAUUAAAUCCUCUUUUCCUUUCUACCAAAAAAAAAAAAUCCUCUUUUCCUGGUCUUGAUUUAGUCUAUGAACUAAGUCGUGAUAACAAUGCAUUGUAUACACCUUACAAAUAUAACAAGUAAGGUUCCUUAUUAAUUCGAGAAGGGCAUGAAUGAAUAACUGCAAUUAUUGGUCCAAACAAUAUAUAAUUAGAAAGGUUCUUCAUAUCAUUAUCUAAACAAAUGUUCUCCACAUACUUUGAUUCACUAUUGAGUCACGUUUUUGAGCUCAGCGAAGUAUAAACUUUUUUCAGUUGCUGACCAAUCUUGAAUUCUUAUUCUUUGUAAAGAUUAUGUGUGUGACUUACAUUAGUGGAACAAGAAUUUAGUAAAUGGGAAUGUUAUAGAUGACUUUGGAAAAAGAGUUGAAAAUGCAAUAUCUCGAAUCCUUUGUUCUUCUACCCUUUUGAAGAUCUGGUCAUGUUCUUUUCUCAGACCCAUAAUCUCGACGGGAAUUUGUACAGGCCGCAACUUUUGACUGAAAUGACACGUUCUUACCAAUUUCAGAAAUAUAUUCUUGCUACAAUUCCUUGUAAGGGAAUUAUUAGUAUCACACCAAUACAAGGAUGUGUUUGAUCUUUUCAGGAAUUUGCACAGCAGCAAUUGCCCUUUUCACUGAUUUACAAAUACUCCUGAACCUUGUGUCAAUCGGUACACUGUUUGUGUUUUACAUGGUAGCAAAUGCUGUUAUCUACAAGCGUUACGUGUCAGUUGGAGUAACAAACCCAUGGCCUACACUGUCUUUCCUUUUUUGCUUCUCUUUGACUUCAAUCUUAUUCACCCUCUCAGUUGGAGUAACAAGCCCAUGGCCUACACUGUCUUUCCUUUUUUGCUUCUCUUUGACUUCAAUCUUAUUCACCCUUUUAUGGCAAUUUGCACCACCAGGCAAGCCAAAAGCCUUCAUGCUUGGUGCUUGCACAGCAAUCGCCAUCGCUGUAGUACAAAUAUUCCACUAUACGGUACCACAGGCACGAAAACCUGAGUUUUGGGGUGUCCCAUUAAUGCCAUGGAUUCCUUCCAUAUCUAUCUUCCUCAACAUAUUUUUGUUGGGUUCACUUGAUAGACCAUCCUAUGUUCGAUUUGGAUUCUUCUCAGGACUUGCUGUACUAGUGUAUGUUUUCUACAGUGUUCAUGCUAGUUUUGAUGCCGAGGAAGAUGGGUCUCUUAGUCAAAAGAGCAUUGAACUUGUGAAGGAAUCUAUUGAAAGCCAGGACCAUACUCUCAAAGUGUAAAAAUGUUCUCUUUUUGGCUGACUUUUUCUUUAGUUAUGACUUUUAAUUUUUAACUUUUUGGGAAGGGCUUACUGUUAUGGAUACUUAACAAUGGAAAUGGGAGAGGAAGUACAGGCUGCAAGAUUUUGCAGUGAGCAAGUUGUAUAGUUUGUUUAUUAGUGGGUUCAAGUUGUGACUUGUGAUCC